GACGAACGCUGGCGGCAGGCCUAACACAUGCAAGUCGAACGGGAAGCAUCCUUCGGGAUGUGGAGAGUGGCGCACGGGUGAGUAACGCGUGGGUAUCUGCCUCGAAGUGGGGGACAACCGCUGGAAACGGCGGCUAAUACCGCAUACGCCCUUAGGGGGAAAGCUUUAUGCGCUUCGAGAUGAACCCGCGUUGGAUUAGCUUGUUGGUGAGGUAACGGCUCACCAAGGCAUCGAUCCAUAGCUGGUCUGAGAGGAUGAUCAGCCACACUGGGACUGAGACACGGCCCAG
rnacentral:rRNA from 1 species